CAAAACAAAGAAUCUAUUAAUAUAAAGUAGAAUAACCUUAAAAAAGUUUAUAGAAAUCAUGAACACUAUGAAAUCGUUUCGUGAAAUAGUGGCAAAUGCGAAGAAUGUAUUAAUAUUGACUGGUAGUGGAAUUUCCGCAGAAUCUGGUAUUCCUACAUUUAGAGGUGCUGGUGGUUUCUGGAGAAAAUAUCCAGCUGAAAAUCUUGCAACUCCAAUAGCAUUUGCAGAAAAUCCUUCUUUAGUUUGGGAAUUUUAUGAAUACCGUAGACGAGUAGCAUUAGAAGCUAAACCUAAUAAGGCUCAUGAAGCAAUAGCAAUUUUUCAAGACCGUUAUUUAAAAGAAGGUAAAAAUGUUACAAUUAUAACACAAAAUAUUGAUGAACUUCAUCAAAGAGCAGGAGCUAAAAAUGUAGUGGAACUUCAUGGUUCACUAUUUAAAACUCGUUGUACAUUUUGUCAUGAAGUUGUUAAAAAUACAAAUAUUCCAAUAUGCCCUGCAUUAAAAGGGAAAGGAUCACCAGAUCCAAAUAUUAUGAGUUCUGAUAUUCCAAAAGAAGAUUUACCUCAUUGUCAAAAGUGUAAAAAUAUAUUAAGACCUCACAUUGUGUGGUUUGGAGAAAAUUUAGAUGAUUACAUAAUGCAACAAGCACAUAUUGCUGUUGAAAAUUGUGAUGUUUGCCUGGUCAUUGGUACAUCAUCUAUUGUUUAUCCUGCAGCAAUGUUUGCACCAUAUGUAGCACAGCAUGGAAUUCCUGUUGCUGAAUUUAAUUUGGAAACAACUCCUGCUACAUCAUAUUUUGAGUAUCAUUUUCAAGGUCCUUGCACUGUUACUGUACCAGAAGCUUUAGGAUUAUGAUUUCUGAGUAUAAAGAAAACAUUUUGAGCAUGUAGAAUAUUUACCUUGUACUAAACAUACUUCAAUAUUGAGUCCAAGUUGAUAUUUAAGAAUAUUAUUUUUUAAAUAAAUAUACGUACUUUUUUGGUAUCAUAAUUCCAAACAAUUAAAUCUGGAAAUCCAGCUCUCCAAAGUUUAAAAUUUUCGAUGAGUCGUUUACAAAUCCCUACUACACCUUGUACUCCCAAACAGUGUACUAUUUCCUAUAAAUAAAAAUAUUAUUACAUUUUAUUAAUAUUAUUACAUUUUUUGAUGAAUCAGAUAAUAAAAUAUCAAUAAAAUUA